CAGUCGCCACGGGAAUACGUAGGGUGCGAGCGUUAAUCGGAAUUACUGGGCGUAAAGCGUGCGCAGGCGGUUAUGUAAGACAGUUGUGAAAUCCCCGGGCUCAACCUGGGAACUGCAUCUGUGACUGCAUAGCUAGAGUACGGUAGAGGGGGAUGGAAUUCCGCGUGUAGCAGUGAAAUGCGUAGAUAUGCGGAGGAACACCGAUGGCGAAGGCAAUCCCCUGGACCUGUACUGACGCUCAUGCACGAGAGCGUGGGGAGCAAACAGGAUUAGAUACCCCCGUAGUCCCUGUCUCUUAUAC
rnacentral:rRNA from 1 species